CUCUACGGUUCCAGUCACACUCCUUGGCCCACAUUCACAGAAUUCUGUGAUUUGCUCCUGGUUUUCAGAGAGCACCAGCUAACACAAUUCUGGGAUAGGGCUUCUAACACCCACUCUGCUAUAUCUUGGGUCAUCUUAUUUUUAUUCAGGCCUCGUUCCAGAUACAAGAUUGCUGGCUGCAUCUACUUAGCUGAAACCAAAUUAUGCACUGUAAAAAAAAUGGUGGCUUUUUAUUUCAGUGUAUUAGGCACGACUUUCCAUCCUCACCACCCCCCUGUUUUCACUGGGUGACACAAGCCCCUCUUCAUGAGAGCUUUGGUUUUCUCUGACCUUCUUUUCAGGACGGCAAGUUCUAUUUUGUGUUAAAACCAUUUCUCAUAUAUAAAAGUACAUUAGUAUUAGCGUAGCCGAGCCCCAUCUGGUCCCUUCCCUUCUGCUGGGAAUGAUAAACGGGCAAAGGGCAGGACGGGGAGGAGCAGCCACGUGGUCUCCAUAGCCAACCCAGGGCACAAGUGACACAGAGCUCUGGUGUCACCUGGGAAGUGACCUCCCUCCUCUCGAGCUCCUCAGCCACCUCGGGAAGGAAAAGCAGCUUUUAAUAUGGACACAACCUACAUCAUAUUUGCUGGUACACCUGCAGAGCAUCCCAGAUUUGUCAGCGGGAAAAGCCAUGCAAGACAACAGAAUUUUGGAAAUCCCACAUACUGAUGAUUUUUCUUGGCCAUGUGGGUGGAUCAGCAGGAGGCCAAGUGAGGACUCGCCUUCCCUUUUCCUGGGUUGGUGAUCUUCCCAGCUGCAUUCCUGUGACUCCGAGACCACCAUGGCUGGGCACCUUGAAGACCCCUCUUCCUUUCCUACCCAACUGCUAUCCCUCCAGCUGCAUAGGCCCUUGCUGCCUGCAUUGUAAUUACUUUCCACUGACACUUACGCUUGCCUUGGAUAUUCCAGUAUUUUGGAGCAGAGCAGGAGGAAAGUAAACUCUUCAUGUUACCAUUCAUUGCUAGAAUUGAAGAAGGGCUUUACAAUGCUGGAAGACAGUAUCUAUGUCCUCCUGCAACAUACAAGAAAAAUCCCACAUGGACAUGCAGGGAAGAGGAAAAGAGGCAGCUGUGGCUCUUGAUGCUUACUUUGUAUUUCCUGUAUCUCAUCAACGUCCCUUACGAGGUGGAACACUUACAAGCAAGGUAAAGGCUAGCAGGACUCUAGUCUUCAUGAAUGUAUCUGCUGUCUAAAAAUUACUUCCUGGUAGUUUAUGAGGAUGAUCUUAGCUUGUCUCCUGAGUGAGACCAACAGAGCUGUGACCAGGGCUUCGGCUAAAGACACUGUGGGGUGCAGUCACUGUUUACAGCCAACACUUUGGAAAGAGCUAUUAGGAGAGUACACAGGGUUGCUUUUAUCUGGAGGGGACCCAAGCCAAUCAAAAUAGCCUUUGAGCAGGAGGAACCAAAGAGCUCCACCUAGUGAUCCCCACCCGUACUGCAGGAGAAGGAGAAAAGAUUGUUGGAAAUAAAGCUAAAAGUGUAGGGGGUGUCAGACAUGUGCCAAACACGAUCAGAGUUGUCUGAUAAGUAAAUGUCUCCUUUUGAAAUCUCUUAUAUUCAUAAAACAGAAAUAGCACCUAAGCAAUCCUUUAUUAGGAGUCUCAGCCCUUAUUUCAUGACACAUUGUAUAUUGCUUACUGUGUUUUAUAGGUUGUGUUGUCUUUGUGGUCAUAGACUGUAUUAUUUGAAAUGCUCCAGUUUGUAAUACUUUAUAGUUUUUUAAUUUAAAGCAAAAAAAAAAUAAAAAUGAUGAUACAGAAUUUCAAAACCAAAUAAUAGGAGAUUAAAUUGUUAAUCUCCUAUAUAUUAAUAUAUUGCGUUAUCUUCAAAGUAGUUGCUCAGAUUACAAGAUACUAUAGGUGUGAAAAAAUUAUGACAGUGAAAACACAAACCAUUCUCUCUGAUGAACUAAUAGAGAUUAGUAUAGUAUACUGGUAGUAUAAUUAUUUAAUAUAUAUGUGUGUAUAUUAUGAUCUUUUCCAUUCUUUCUUUUCUCCUUUCCCCUGUCCCAAUUGUUCUUUCCUAUAGUUUUUUUUUCUUACUAGAAUUUAGGGAAGAAUUUGUAUGCAGCAAUGCUGUUGGGUUCAGAGUAAAUACAAGAAAAAAUUAAUAAAAACUGUUUUGGA